rnacentral:rRNA from 1 species
CAGUAGCCGCGGUAAUACGUAGGGCGCGAGCGUUGUCCGGAAUCAUUGGGCGUAAAGCGCGUGUAGGCGGCUGAGUAAGUCUGCUGUGAAAGUCCAGGGCUCAACCCUGGAAUGUCGGCGGAUACUGCUCAGCUGGAGUACGGGAGGGGCGAGUGGAAUUCCUGGUGUAGCGGUGGAAUGCGCAGAUAUCAGGAGGAACACCUAUGGCGAAGGCAGCUCGCUGGAACGUUACUGACGCUGAGACGCGAAAGCGUGGGGAGCAAACAGGAUUAGAUACCCCCGUAGUCCCUGUCUCUUAUAC